GACUGCUUUGGUUGCCUAGUGGUUAGAGCAUCCACCCUGGAUGCAGGAGGUUGUGGGUUCAAACCCCGACCAAGUCA